UACGUAGGUGGCAAGCGUUGUCCGGAUUUAUUGGGCGUAAAGAGCGCGCAGGCGGUCGAGUAAGUCGAAUGUGAAAGCCCCCGGCUUAACUGGGGAGGGUCAUUCGAUACUGUUCGACUUGAAGGCAGGAGAGGGCAGCAGAAUUCCCGGUGUAGUGGUGAAAUGCGUAGAUAUCGGGAGGAAUACCAGUGGCGAAGGCGGCUGCCUGGCCUGUUCUUGACGCUGAGGCGCGAAAGCUAGGGUAGCAAACGGG
rnacentral:rRNA from 1 species